rnacentral:rRNA from 1 species
AUUGAACGCUGGCGGCAGGCCUAACACAUGCAAGUCGAGCGAGCGGCGUACGGGUGAGUAAUGUAUGGGGACUGCCCGAUAGAGGGGGAUAACUACUGGAAACGGUGGCUAAUACCGCAUACUAUCGGAUAACCCAUAUGGGAUUAGCUAGUAGGUGGGGUAAAGGCUCACCUAGGCGACGAUCUCUAGCUGUUCUGAGAGGAUGAUUGGCCAAAUUGGAAUCGAGACACGGCCCAGACUCCUACGGAGGCAGUAGUGGGGAAUAUUGCACAAUGGGGGCAAGCCGGAUGCAGCCAUGCCGCGUGUAUGAAGAAGGCCUUAGGUUUGUAAAGUACUUUCAGCGUGGAGGCGUGACCCGCAGAAGAAGCACCGGCUAACUCCGUGCCAGCAGCCGAGGUAAUAC